rnacentral:ncRNA from 2 species
GUCUAGGGUCAGCAGUGCCGGUCGACGACCGGCUCCGAUGGUCGAGCAGGAAGCCGGUGCGAGUCCGGCGCGGUCCCGCCACUGUGACCGGAGCGUGCGAACGUUCCGGGAGUCAGAUACUGCCCCCACCGGAACCUCGCUU